rnacentral:rRNA from 1 species
UACGUAGGUGGCAAGCGUUGUCCGGAUUUACUGGGCGUAAAGAGCGCGCAGGCGGCUGAUUAAGUCGAAUGUGAAAGCCCCCGGCUCAACUGGGGAGGGUCAUUCGAUACUGAUCAACUUGAAGGCAGGAGAGAGAAGUGGAAUUCCCGGUGUAGUGGUGAAAUGCGUAGAUAUCAGGAGGAACACCGGUGGCGAAGGCGUUCUGCUAGGCCGCAACUGACACUGAGGGACGAAAGCUAGGGGAGCGAAUGGG